rnacentral:rRNA from 1 species
GACGAACGCUGGCGGCGUGCUUAACACAUGCAAGUCGAACGGUGAAGCCCUUCGGGGUGGAUCAGUGGCGAACGGGUGAGUAACACGUGAGCAACCUGCCCCUGGCUCUGGGACAACCACUGGAAACGGUGGCUAAUACCGGAUACGACCCGCCUCGGCAUCGAGUGUGGGUGGAAAGUUUUUCGGCUGGGGAUGGGCUCGCGGCCUAUCAGCUUGUUGGUGAGGUGAAGGCUCACCAAGGCGACGACGGGUAGCCGGCCUGAGAGGGCGACCGGCCACACUGGGACUGAGACACGGCCCAGACUCCUACGGGAGGCAGCAGUGGGGAAUAUUGCACAAUGGGCGAAAGCCUGAUGCAGCGACGCCGCGUGAGGGAUGACGGCCUUCGGGUUGUAAACCUCUUUCAGCUCCGAAGAAGCGAAAGUGACGGUAGGAGCAGAAGAAGCACCGGCUAACUACGU